AGAGACACAACUUGAAUUUUCUGUCUUAACGGCCUGUUGUGUAUUUAUUAUGGGCAUACGGCUCCAGUGACUGAGGUGUGGCGCCAUCUUUCCAUUGAGCAGUCAGCUGCUGAAUGCAAAUAGCAUAUCCGUAAUCAUCUGGCAAUCAUCAUGCAGUCUGAGCUCCAAUCAUCAUUGUCAUCUGGCUUCUAUCUUAAAGUUAUGAUGCCACAGAAGGAAAUAGAAAUGAUAAAAUCAAAACAGGGGAGAUGGUAAAUGUGGCCAAUGAAGUGGAGACGGAAGUUUGUGUCAGAGAUGGGCUUAUUAGUGUGAAGUCAUAUUCUAUCCUCCAAAGAGACGUGAGGAGGUGUGAGGAGGCCACAGGCCAAACUAAAAUCUAGUGUAUUUAUCAUUCCCCGUGGAAAUUAAGGUCAAUCUUUUUAAGUAGAGAGCUGCUAACAGAAUAUAAGUCACACAUAUUCAUUCACAGUUUGUCCCAUCAGCUAUAUUACAGCUGAUUCAAGUCAAUACGUGAGGUUAAAUAAGAUCUCCUCUGGGGUUUGUCGUUUGAGCUGGUCGAGUUUCUCAAAAAACAUUUGUUACAUGAAAGACUUUAAUAAGCAGCUGCCUCAAUGACAUUGUUUAAGUUCCCACAGGAUUCUAUUGAAAGUGAGUGAGGUGAGCCCCUUUAGAGGUAGCUCUCCCAUUAGCGCUUACAUCUUUUAAUUGGCCUGAGCAAAGUGCGGCCGAGCUUUAGGUCCAUUCAGUGUAAAAAAAAAAAAGAAAAAAAAGAAAGAAAAGAAAAGAAAAUCUUAAUAUGGAGAAAAUGCCCGUUUUUCAUCUUAAUACACAACCACACACAUGGAUGCAGAUGCAACAUACACCCACAUUAAUAUACUUAAACAGACCUAGAAAAGGCUUACAGAGUAUUUUUGCCCUCGGCACCCAUAAUUCUAUGCUGAUUACACUGAGUGUGGUUUAAUGGAAGCCCCAAUAACCCAUGCUGAGGAACACAGCACACAUACACACACGCAGAGUGAGAAGCUGGAGAGCAGUGCUGUCAGACGGAGACAGAAAGAGGACGGAGAGAUUAAAUUCUGCCGAGAGUUUUUUGUCUGUGAGAUUGGUUCGUAACAUCCCCAGCUCCCUUCACACUCCCUAUUAGUGCAGUGAAGAAGAGAGAAGACCGGGGUGGAGGGCUGGAAAAAAUAGGAAACUUCAACACAGACAUUACUCGGAGGAUACUUAACAAUGUUAUUAAUCCAUUAAUCCUUGUUUGACAUUUGCCAAUGUAUCACCCCUAUUGCUCUUUCUUUCAGAGCUGCAGGCUACAGUAGGU
ensembl:lncRNA